GACGAACGCUGGCGGCGUGCUUAGCACAUGCAAGUCGAACGGAAAGGCCCUGCUUUUGUGGGGUGCUCGAGUGGCGAACGGGGGAGUAACACGAGAGUAACCUGCCCUUGACUUUGGGAUAACUUCAGGAAACUGGGGCUAAAACAGGAUAGGAGCUCCUGCGGCAUGGUGGGGGUUGGAAAGGUUCGGCGGUUGGGGAUGGACUCGCGGCUUAUCAGCUUGUUGGGGGGGUAGUGGCUUACCAAGGCUUUGACGGGUAGCCGGCCUGGGAGGGUGACCGGCCACACUGGGACUGGGCUACGGCCCAGAGUCCUACGGGAGGCAGCAGUGGGGAAUAUUGCACCCUGGGCCGAAGCCUGAUGCAGCAACGCCGCGUGCGGGAUGACGGCCUUCGGGUUGUAAACCGCUUUCGCCUGUGACGAAGCGUGCGUGACGGUAACGCGUAAAGAAGCACCGGCUAACUACGUG
rnacentral:rRNA from 1 species